rnacentral:rRNA from 1 species
GAGGAAUAUUGGUCAAUGGGCGAGAGCCUGAACCAGCCAAGUAGCGUGCAGGAAGACGGCCCUAUGGGUUGUAAACUGCUUUUAUGUGGGGAUAAAGUGAGCUACGUGUAGUUUAUUGCAGGUACCACAUGAAUAAGGACCGGCUAAUUCCGUGCCAGCAGCCGCGGUAAUACGGAAGGUCCAGGCGCUAUCCGGAUUUAUUGGGUUUAAAGGGAGCGUAGGCCGUGGAUUAAGCGUGUUGUGAAAUGUAGACGCUCAACGUCUGAAUUGCAGCGCGAACUGGUUCACUUGAGUAUGCACAACGUAGGCGGAAUUCGUCGUGUAGCGGUGAAAUGCUUAGAUAUGACGAAGAACUCCGAUUGCGAAGGCAGCUUACGGGAGCACAACUGACGCUGAAGCUCGGAGGUGCGGGUAUCAAACAGGAUUAGAUACCCUGGUAGUCCGCACAGUAAACGAUGGAUGCCCGUUGUUAGUUCACUUAAGAAUUAGCGACCAAGCGAAAGCAUUAAGCAUCCCACCUGGGGAGUACGCCGGCAACGGUG